AGUUCGAUUCUGGCUCAAAGAUUGUCGCCGCGUGGAUGUCGGCAUGUUGAACGGCAGCACGGACUUCGGUCUGGUGGCGAGUGGCGAACGGGUGAGUAAUGUAUCGGAACGUGCCUAGUAGCGAUAACCAUGCCGCUGCAGCUAAUACCGCAUACGUCUUCGGGGAAAGCGGGGGACCUUCGGGCCCUCGCACUAUUAGAGCGGCCGAUAGGCCGGAUUAGCCAGUUGGUGGGGUACGGCUCACCAAGGCGACGAUCCGUAGCUGGUUUGAGAGGACGACCAGCCAAGCACUGGGACCGGAGACACGGCCCAGACUCCUACGGGAGGCAGCAGUGGGGAAUUUUGGACAAAUGGGGGAAACCCUGAUCCAGCCAUCCCGCGUGUGCGAUGAAGGCCUUCGGGUUGUAAAGCAAUGGCAGGAAGAAACGGCACGGGAUAUAUCGUUCCGUGCAACUGACGGUACCUGCAGAAUAAGCACUGGCUAACUACGUGCCAGCAGCCGCGGUAAUACGUAGGGUGCAAGCGUUAACUGGAAUUACUGGGCGUUAAAGCGUGGGCAGGCGGUUCGGAAAGAAAGAUGUGAAAUCCCAGAGCUUAACUUUGGAACUGCAUUUUUAACUACCGAGCUAGGAGUGCGUCAGAGGGAGUGGAAUUCCGCGUAGCAGGAAUGCGUAGAUAUGCGGAGGAACACCGAUGGCGAAAGCUGCAGCUCUCCUGGGAUAACACUGACGCUCAUGCACGAAAGCGUGGGGAGCAAACAGGAUUAGAUACCCGGUAGUCCACGCCCUAAACGAUGUCAACUAGCUGUUGGGGCCUUCGGGCCUUGCAGCGCAGCCAACGUGUGAAGUUGACCGCCUGGGGAGUACGGUUCAAAGAUUAAAAACUCCAAAGGAAUUGACGGGGACCCGCACAAGCGGUGGAUGAUGUGGAUUAAUUCGAUGCAACGCGAAAAACUCAUCACUCCUUGACAUGUCUGGAAUCCUGAAGAGACGGGAGUGCUCGCAAGAGAACCGGAACACAGGUGCUGUAUGGCUGUCGUCAGCUCGUGUCGUGAGAUGCUGGGUUAAGUCCCGCAACGAGCGCAACCCUUUGGCUGAAGGUUGCUACGAAAGCGGCACUCUAAUGAGACUGCCGGUGACAAACCGGAGGAAGGUGGGGAUGACGUCAAGUCCUCAUGGCUCCCAGGGUAGGGCUUCACACGUCAUACAAUGGUCGGGACAGAGGGUCGCCAACCCGCGAGGGGGAGCUAAUCCCAGAAACCCGAUCGUAGUCCGGAUCGCAGUCUGCAACCGACUGCGUGAAGUCGGAAUCGCUAGUAAUCGCGGAUCAGCAUGUCGCGGUGAAUACGUUCCCGGGUCUUGUACACACCGCCCGUCACACCAUAAGGAGUGUGGGUUUCACCAGAAGUAGUUAGCCUAACCGUGCGAGGGCGAUUACCACGGUAGGAUUCAUGACUGCGGGGUGAAGUCGUGUCGUCAGUAG
rnacentral:rRNA from 1 species